rnacentral:rRNA from 1 species
AGCGGCGGACGGGUGAGUAACACGUGGGCAACCUGCCUGUAAGAUCGGAAUAACCCCGGGAAACCGGGGCUAAUGCCGGGUAAUACUUUCUUUCGCAUGAAGGAAAGUUGAAAGAUGGCUUCUUGCUAUCACUUACAGAUGGGCCCGCGGCGCAUUAGCUAGUUGGUGAGGUAACGGCUCACCAAGGCGACGAUGCGUAGCCGACCUGAGAGGGUGAUCGGCCACACUGGGACUGAGACACGGCCCAGACUCCUACGGGAGGCAGCAGUAGGGAAUCUUCCGCAAUGGACGAAAGUCUGACGGAGCAACGCCGCGUGAACGAUGAAGGUCUUCGGAUCGUAAAGUUCUGUUGUUAGGGAAGAACAAGUACCGUGCGAAUAGAGCGGUACCUUGACGGUACCUAACGAGGAAGCCCCGGCUAACUACGUGCCAGCAGCCGCGGUAAUACGUAGGGGGCAAGCGUUGUCCGGAAUUAUUGGGCGUAAAGCGCGCGCAGGCGGUUCCUUAAGUCUGAUGUGAAAGCCCACGGCUCAACCGUGGAGGGUCAUUGGAAACUGGGGAACUUGAGGACAGAAGAGGAGAGUGGAAUUCCACGUGUAGCGGUGAAAUGCGUAGAUAUGUGGAGGAACACCAGUGGCGAAGGCGACUCUCUGGUCUGUUUCUGACGCUGAGGUGCGAAAGCGUGGGUAGCAAACAGGAUUAGAUACCCUGGUAGUCCACGCCGUAAACGAUGAGUGCUAGGUGUUAGGGGGCUUCCACCCCUUAGUGCUGAAGUUAACGCAUUAAGCA